rnacentral:rRNA from 1 species
UACGUAGGGCGCAAGCGUUUAUCCGGAAUUAUUGGGCGUAAAGAGCUCGUAGGCGGCUUGUCGCGUCGACUGUGAAAUCCCGCGGCUCAACCGCGGGUCUGCAGUCGAUACGGGCAGGCUAGAGUUCGGUAGGGGAGACUGGAAUUCCUGGUGUAGCGGUGAAAUGCGCAGAUAUCAGGAGGAACACCGAUGGCGAAGGCAGGUCUCUGGGCCGAUACUGACGCUGAGGAGCGAAAGCGUGGGGAGCGAACAGG